rnacentral:rRNA from 1 species
CACGUAGGGUGCGAGCGUUGUCCGGAAUUAUUGGGCGUAAAGAGCUCGUAGGCGGUGUGUCGCGUCGGCCGUGAAAACCUGCAGCUUAACUGUGGGCUUGCGGUCGAUACGGGGCAUCACUGGAGUUCGGCAGGGGAGACUGGAAUUCCUGGUGUAGCGGUGAAAUGCGCAGAUAUCAGGAGGGAACACCCGGGUGGCGAAGGCGGAUCUCUGGGCCAUUACUGACGCUGGAGGAGCGAAAAGCGUUAGGGGAGCGAACAGG